AAAAUAUAUAUUCACCUGUUUAUCAAAAACAUGUCUUUUUGAAUUAAAUUUAAAGUCUAACCUGCCCACUGAUAUAAAUUAAAGGGCCGCAGUAUUUUGACUGUGCGAAGGUAGCAUAAUCACUAGUCUUUUAAUUGGAGGCUUGUAUGAAUGGUUGAAUGAGAUAUAU
rnacentral:ncRNA from 1 species